UACGUAGGGCGCAAGCGUUAUCUGGAAUUAUUGGGCGUAAAGAGCUCGUAGGCGGUUUGUCGCGUCUGCCGUGAAAGUCCGGGGCUCAACUCCGGAUCUGCGGUGGGUACGGGCAGACUAGAGUGCAGUAGGGGAGACUGGAAUUCCUGGUGUAGCGGUGAAAUGCGUAGAGAUCCGGAGGAACACCGGUGGCGAAGGCGGGUCUCUGGGCCGUUACUGACGCUGAGGAGCGAAAGCGUGGGGAGCGAACAGG
rnacentral:rRNA from 1 species